rnacentral:rRNA from 1 species
AAUGAACGCUGGCGGCAUGCCUAACACAUGCAAGUCGAGCGAACAGACGAGAAGCUCUCUCCCCUGACGUUAGCGGCGGACGGACGAGUAACACAUGCAUCACCUUCUUCUAUGUCUUGGGUAACUUCGGGAAACCGCUGACGCUACCGCCUAAUACAUCCUACGGCAUAGAUCAAUAGUGAUUGACGCUUUUCCCGUCUGUUUUAGACGAUUCCGCGCCGGAUUAGCUAGUUGGUAAGGUAACGGCUAACCAAGGCGACGAUGCGUAGCCGAUCUGAGAGGGUGAUCAGCCACACUGGAACUGAGACACGGUCCAGACUCCUACGGGAGGCAGCAGUAGGGAAUCUUGCGCAAUGGGCGCAAGCCUGACGGAGCAACGCCGCGUGAGUGAUGAAGGUCUUCGGGUCGUAAAGCUCUGUUGUUGGGGAAGAAAAGCUGUGUAAUUAACUAUGCACGUCUUGACGGUACCUAAACAAAAAGCCACGGCUAACUACGUG